UACGGGGGGAGCAAGCGUUGUUCGGAUUUACUGGGCGUAAAGGGCGCGUAGGCGGCCAGCACAAGUCAGUUGUGAAAUCUCCGAGCUUAACUCGGAAAGGUCAACUGAUACUGUGCGGCUAGAGUGCGGAAGGGGCAACUGGAAUUCCUGGUGUAGCGGUGAAAUGCGCAGAUAUCAGGAGGAACACCGAUGGCGAAGGCAGGUCUCUGGGCCACUACUGACGCUGAGAAGCGAAAGCAUGGGGAGCGAACAGG
rnacentral:rRNA from 1 species